rnacentral:lncRNA from 1 species
CUCGGCGGAGCGGGGCUGGGCGAGGAGCGCAGAGGAGUCAGAGGAGCUCCAGCACCACCUCCAGCCUUCAGUGACUGUCUGGAGCAGGCAUCCGGAUGGAAGAGAAGGGGGACAACCAUGAACUUGGUGACCCACGGUCAGCCUGAUUUCCCUUGUGGACACAUUUAUGCCCAGUGUGCAUUCCUCCUGAGGUCUGUUCCAAGUCUGGAGGCAGCAGAGUAGAGUGGAGAGAACAGUGGACUUGGAAUCUCACCUCCCAGAUUAGAGUCCUGGAUCUGACUUUGAUUGCUGGUGCUGCCUCGGGCAAGUUACUUUAGCUGUGUGCAUCUCCAUUUCCCCAUGGAUAGAACAUGGGUUUUGGGUAGAAGUGUCUGAUAGCUGUACUGUGCUUUACGGUUCAUGAGCACGCACACAUAGGCCCAUAAUAUCAUAUCUCUGGUCACCCUGGCAGGUAGAUAUUAUUGCCCCAGGUUUCAGGUAAGAAGACUAAAGACCAGGGGUCAAUUGCUUGCUCAGAGUCCCACAGCCAGCAGCAGCCAGGCAGGACACCAAGUCAGAGUCUAGAUUCCGGAUCUUGCCCUCUUCCAAGUGUACCACAUUCUUCUCAAAGUGGCCUCUCAGGUCUUUUGUCCAGAAAAUUUUG